rnacentral:rRNA from 1 species
UCGAGGGGCAGCAGCUUUAUAGCAAUAUAGAGGCUGGCGACCGGCAAACGGGUGCGGAACACGUACACAACCUUCCUUGAAUAGGGGGAUAGCCCAUAGAAAUGUGGAUUAAUACCCCGUAAUAUAGCGGUGUGGCAUCACACUGUUAUUAUAGUUUCGGCGAUUCGAGAUGGGUGUGCGGCUGAUUAGGUAGUUGGCGGGGUAAAGGCCCACCAAGCCUUCGAUCAGUAGCUGAUGUGAGAGCAUGAUCAGCCACACGGGCACUGAGACACGGGCCCGACUCCUACGGGAGGCAGCAGUAAGGAAUAUUGGUCAAUGGACGCAAGUCUGAACCAGCCAUGCCGCGUGAAGGAUGAAGGUCCUCUGGAUUGUAAACUUCUUUUAUAGGGGGCGAAAAAAGGUCUUUCUAGAUCACUUGACAGUACCCUAUGAAUAAGCACCGGCUAACUCCGUGCCAGCAGCCGCGGUAAUACGGAGGGUGCAAGCGUUAUCCGGAUUCACUGGGUUUAAAGGGUGCGUAGGCGGGUAGGUAAGUCAGAGGUGAAAUCCUGGAGCUUAACUCCAGAACUGCCUUUGAUACUAUCUAUCUUGAAUAUGGUGGAGGUAAGCGGAAUAUGUCAUGUAGCGGUGAAAUGCAUAGAUAUGACAUAGAACACCUAUUGCGAARGCAGCUUACUACGCCUAUAUUGACGCUGAGGCACCAAAAGCGUGGGGGAUCAAACAGGAUUAGAUACCCUGGGUAGUCCMCGCCCCUAAAACGAUGAUUWACUCGAMCGUAUGCGAUACACAGUAUGCKUCUGAGCGAAAGC